GGUCACCUAGCUCGAGGUUAGUUCGGGCUAGAGCGUCCGGUGAGGGUGGAGGGAGCCAAGAGUUCUUUGCUAGAGGAAGACCAAAGUCUAGGUUGUAGGAAAAGCAAAUAGAAGCCAUGUUUCGGAGACCUGUAUUACAGGUGUUUCAUCAGUUUGUAAGACGUGAGUCUGAAAUAGCCAGCAGCUUGGUUCUUGAAAGAUCUCUGAACCGUGUGCAGCUCCUUGGGCGAGUGGGUCAGGACCCCGUCAUGAGACAGGUGGAAGGGAAGAACCCGGUCACAAUAUUUUCUCUAGCAACGAAUGAGAUGUGGCGGUCAGGGGAGAGUGAAGUAUACCAAAUGGAUUUAGGUGAUGUCAGUCAAAAGACGACAUGGCACAGAAUAUCAGUAUUCCGACCAGGCCUCAGAGAUGUGGCGUAUCAGUAUGUGAAAAAGGGGUCCCGUAUCUAUGUGGAAGGGAAAGUCGACUAUGGUGAAUACACAGAUAAAAACAAUGUGAGGCGACAGGCAACAACAAUCAUAGCUGAUAAUAUUAUAUUUCUGAGUGACCAGACCAAAGAAAAGGCAUAGAGUGGACGAUUCUUCUUUGGCCAUUGUUUGGAACGGUAGAAAAGGAAUUGCCGUUUCCUCAUAUCAGCCGUCUUUUUUCCUGCAGCUGGGACCAUUAAUCAGUACAUGAACUCUGCUUUGUGAGGAAACCUGAAACUGCGUGGUUAAGUAACAUGUCAAAGUCAUGCAGCUUAUAAGAGGCACAGCUGGAGUUUGAGUUUAGUUAACUGUUGCUAAGGGGGUAGAAGCAGACGCCAUUUGGUGGUGCUUCCAGGAAAGCCCCUUAAAUGAUUAGCUCUGUUGGGAGGCUCAUCCAUUGUGCUUCUCCAGACCCUCACCUGGCUUUUUCUGGUCUGAAAUGUGGACAUGAUGGCUGAGAGUCUCCAGUAGCCAUUUUAGACCACAAGACUAUCUGCAGGAUGGAAGAUGGAAGAGGCUGGAGUCCGUGAUGACCAUGGAACCACCAUCGCGGUCCUGGACAGUCUACCUCUGGACUUCUUUGGGAGACACAAAUAAAUCUCUACCUUGUUUAAGCCACUU